rnacentral:lncRNA from 1 species
UAAAAUUCGUAUGGGUCUUGAGAAUCAGGCGGGAAAAUAUUUCCUUGUGUGGCUACUGCGCACUGAGAUGAAGCAUCCGAAGAGUUGUCGGAGUCCGAACUAUCUUCAUUUUCUUCUUGCAAUUCCUUCAUGAGGAUUUUGGCUAGAGCCUUGGGCUUUGAUGACUUCUUUUUCUUCGAACUGCUUGAAGAUCUGGAUGACUUGGUCUUGCCUUUGAGAGAGGAAGAAGGACUAAUGUCCGAUAAUGACUCGAUUUCUUCCUUGAUUGGUUCUGGUAAAGCCGUUGCUGGAGGAGCUGCUACUGCAGGUACUGAG